AAGCUUAGUUGCCAUCAUUAAGUUGGGCACUCUAAGUUGACUGCCGGUGACAAACCGGAGGAAGGUGGGGAUGACGUCAAAUCAUCAUGCCCCUUAUGAUUUGGGCUACACACGUGCUACAAUGGACAAUACAAAGGGCAGCGAAACCGCGAGGUCAAGCAAAUCCCAUAAAGUUGUUCUCAGUUCGGAUUGUAGUCUGCAACUCGACUAUAUGAAGCUGGAAUCGCUAGUAAUCGUAGAUCAGCAUGCUACGGUGAAUACGUUCCCGGGUCUUGUACACACCGCCCGUCACACCACGAGAGUUUGUAACACCCGAAGCCGGUGGAGUAACCAUUUGGAGCUAGCCGUCGAAGGUGGGACAAAUGAUUGGGGUGAAGUCGUAACAAGGUAGCCGUAUCGGAAGGUGCGGCUGGAUCACCUCCUUU
rnacentral:rRNA from 1 species